rnacentral:rRNA from 1 species
GAAACCAACUGGGAUUGCCUUAGUAACGGCGAGUGAAGCGGCAAAAGCUCAAAUUUGAAAUCUGGUACCUUUGGUGCCCGAGUUGUAAUUUGGAGAGUACCACUUUGGGACUGUACUUUGCCUAUGUUCCUUGGAACAGGACGUCAUGGAGGGUGAGAAUCCCGUGUGGCGAGGGUGUCAGUUCUUUGUAAAGGGUGCUCGAAGAGUCGAGUUGUUUGGGAAUGCAGCUCUAAGUGGGUGGUAAAUUCCAUCUAAAGCUAAAUACAGGCGAGAGACCGAUAGCGAACAAGUACAGUGAUGGAAAGAUGAAAAGAACUUUGAAAAGAGAGUGAAAAAGUACGUGAAAUUGUUGAAAGGGAAGGGCAUUUGAUCAGACAUGGUGUUUUGCGCCCCUUGCCUCUCGUGGGCUUGGGACUCUCGCAGCUCACUGGGCCAGCAUCGGUUUUGGCGGCCGGAAAAAACCUAGGGAAUGUGGCUCUGCGCCUCGGUGUAGAGUGUUAUAGCCC